rnacentral:rRNA from 1 species
UGCAAGUCGAACGAGAAACGGUCUAGCUUGCUAGAUGCAGUCUAAGUGGCGCACGGGUGAGUAAUGUAUAGCUAAUGUGCCCCUUGGAGGGGGAUAACAGUUGGAAACGGCUGCUAAUACCCCAUACUCCUUCAUUCUUAAUGAGUGAAGGGAAAGUUUUUUCGCCAAGGGAUCAGGCUAUAUGGUAUCAGCUAGUUGGUGAGGUAACGGCUCACCAAGGCAAUGACGCCUAACUGGUCUGAGAGGAUGAUCAGUCACACUGGAACUGAGACACGGUCCAGACUCCUACGGGAGGCAGCAGUGGGGAAUAUUGCACAAUGGAGGAAACUCUGAUGCAGCAACGCCGCGUGGAGGAUGACGCAUUUCGGUGUGUAAACUCCUUUUAUAUAGGAAGAUAAUGACGGUACUAUAUGAAUAAGCACCGGCUAACUCCGUGCCA